rnacentral:lncRNA from 1 species
GCAGAAACAAAGACUUAUUGAGAGGAAACGAUAUGGACAGUUUUGAAGUCUGCACAAGGACUCAGAGGAGGAAAGACUUGUGAGGAUGCUGAACCUGUCUAGAGGUGUUGGACAACUUGAGGAGGUGAAGAAGAGCUGACCCAUAACCCCAGCAGAUACACAGUCAAUAAAGAGGAUCUCUGGACCACAAAGGAGAUGAUAAGAGACAACGCCGUCAUUGAGAUUCUAACCUGGGGCUUCCAGAUACUAAUCAGGUUGAAGGGUGGCUGUUCAAAUGGAUUGGAUCCUUAAACCAUGGUGGGAGUGAAGGAAGAGUUUAAAGAGACCGGUGUUUUAGAAGAGAAUCCUAGCUGAGUGGGGAAGCUGUGAUUACCUACACAGACUUUAACUUUUUUCCCUUACCGAUGCCAAAACCCAAACCUUGGAAAUGAAUG